GAAAUGCGAUAAGUAAUGUGAAUUGCAGAAUUCAGUGAAUCAUCGAAUCUUUGAACGCACCUUGCGCUCCUUGGUAUUCCUUGGAGCAUGCCUGUUUGAGUAUCAUGAAAUCUUCAAAGUAAAUCUUUUGUUAACUCAAUUGGUUUCUACUUUGGUAUUGGAGGUCUUUGCAGCUUCACACCUGCUCCUCUUUGUUCAUUAGCUGGAUCUCAGUGUUAUGCUUGGUUCCACUCGGCGUGAUAAGUUAUCUAUCGCUGAGGACACUGUAAAAGGUGGCCAAGGUAAAUGCAGAUGAACCGCUUCUAAUAGUCCAUUGACUUGGACAAUACUUUUAUGAUCUGAUCUCAAAUCGGGUAGGACUACCCGCUGAACUUAAGC
rnacentral:misc_RNA from 1 species